rnacentral:rRNA from 1 species
CACGUAGGCACCAAGCGUUGUCCGGAUUUAUUGGGCGUAAAGAGCUCGUAGGCGGUUCGGUAAGUCGGGUGUGAAAACUCUGGGCUCAACCCAGAGCCGCCACCCGAUACUGCUGUGACUCGAGUGCGGUAGGGGAGCGGGGAAUUCCUGGUGUAGCGGUGAAAUGCGCAGAUAUCGAGAGGAACACCUGCGGCGAAGGCGGGUUGCUGGGCCGACACUGACGCUGAUGCGCGAAAGCCAGGGGAGCGAACGGG